rnacentral:rRNA from 1 species
GAUGAACGCUAGCGGCAGGCUUAAUACAUGCAAGUCGAGGGACAGCACAGGUAGCAAUACUGGGUGGUAACCGGCAAACGGGUGCGGAACACGUACACAACCUUCCUUUAAGUGGGGGAUAGCCCAGAGAAAUUUGGAUUAAUACCCCGUAAUAUAGUUGAAUGGCAUCAUUUGAUUAUUAUAGCUACGGCGCUUAAUGAUGGGUGUGCGGCUGAUUAGAUAGUUGGCGGGAUAACGGCCCACCAAGUCUACGAUCAGUAGCUGAUGUGAGAGCAUGAUCAGCCACACGGGCACUGAGACACGGGCCCGACUCCUACGGGAGGCAGCAGUAAGGAAUAUUGGUCAAUGGACGCAAGUCUGAACCAGCCAUGCCGCGUGAAGGAUUAAGGUCCUCUGGAUUGUGAACUUCUUUUAUUUGGGACGAAAAAGGGCCUUUCUAGGUCAACUGACGGUACCAGAUGAAUAAGCACCGGCUAACUCCGUGCCAGCCGCCGCCGUAAGAC